rnacentral:rRNA from 1 species
AACGAACGCUGGCGGCAUGCCUAACACAUGCAAGUCGAACGAGAUCUUCGGGUCUAGUGGCGCACGGGUGCGUAACGCGUGGGAAUCUGCCCUUUGGUUUGGAAUAACAGUUGGAAACGACUGCUAAUACCGGAUGAUGACGAAAGUCCAAAGAUUUAUGGCCAGAGGAUGAGCCCGCGUAGGAUUAGCUAGUUGGUGUGGUAAAGGCGCACCAAGGCGACGAUCCUUAGCUGGUAUGAGAGGAUGAUCAGCCACACUGGGACUGAGACACGGCCCAGACUCCUACGGGAGGCAGCAGUGGGGAAUAUUGGACAAUGGGCGAAAGCCUGAUCCAGCAAUGCCGCGUGAGUGAUGAAGGCCUUAGGGAUGUAAAGCUCUUUUACCCGGGAUGAUAAUGACAGUACCGGGAGAAUAAGCUCCGGCUAACUCCGUGCCAGCCGCCGCAGUAA